UUGAUAAAAAUUUGAAAAAUUAAAUUUCUUCGCACAGAGUGAAAGAAUUUGAAUUUUUUAGCGACAAAGAACCAUUUAACCGAGUUUAGUAAGAUUCAUAAGAAGCAUUGAGAUGGGGGAUAUAUGAAAUAUAGUGGUGGUCCCGAAUGGACUCGAACCAUCGACCACUACCA
rnacentral:antisense_RNA from 1 species